rnacentral:rRNA from 1 species
GGCCUAACACAUGCAAGUCGAACGGUAACAUAAGGUGCUUGCACUUUGAUGACGAGUGGCGCACGGGUGCGUAACGCGUAUAGAACCUACCCUGUACAGGGGGAUAGCCCAGAGAAAUUUGGAUUAAUACCCCGUAGUAACUACUGAUGGCAUCAUUAGUAGUUUAAAGUUUUCGGAUGGUACAGGAUGGCUAUGCGUCCUAUUAGUUAGAUGGUGAGGUAACGGCUCACCAUGGCAGCGAUAGGUAGGGGCCCUGAGAGGGGGAUCCCCCACACUGGUACUGAGACACGGACCAGACUCCUACGGGAGGCAGCAGUGAGGAAUAUUGGACAAUGGGCAGAAGCCUGAUCCAGCCAUGCCGCGUGCAGGAAGACGGCCCUAUGGGUUGUAAACUGCUUUUAUACGGGAAGAAUAAGGGACACGUGUGUCCUGGUGACGGUACCGUAAGAAUAAGGACCGGCUAACUCCGUGCCAGCAGCCGCGGUAAUACGGAGGGUCCGAGCGUUAUCCGGAAUUAUUGGGUUUAAAGGGUCCGCAGGCGGGCAAUUAAGUCAGGGGUGAAAUGCUACGGCUCAACCGUAGCACUGCCCUUGAUACUGGUUGUCUUGAGUCAUAGUGAAGUGGCCGGAAUAUGUAGUGUAGCGGUGAAAUGCAUAGAUAUUACAUAGAACACCGAUUGCGAAGGCAGGUCACUAACUAUCGACUGACGCUGAUGGACGAAAGCGUGGGGAGCGAACGGGAUUAGAUACCCCGGUAGUCCACGCCGUAAACGAUGGAUACUAGCUGUCCGGCACCUUGAGUGCUGGGCG